rnacentral:rRNA from 1 species
ACUCAAAGGAAUUGACGGGGGCCCGCACAAGCGGUGGAGUAUGUGGUUUAAUUCGAUGCAACGCGAAGAACCUUACCCAGGCUUGACAUCUGAGGAACCCUUAUGAAAGUAGGGGGCGCCCUUCGGGGAGCCUCAAGACAGGUGCUGCAUGGCUGUCGUCAGCUCGUGCCGUGAGGUGUUGGGUUAAGUCCCGCAACGAGCGCAACCCUUGUCUUCAGUUGCCAUCAGGCAAAGCUGGGCACUCUGGAGAGACCGCCCCGGUCAACGGGGAGGAAGGUGGGGACGACGUCAAGUCAUCAUGGCCCUUACGCCUGGGGCAACACACGUACUACAAUGGCGCGCACAAAGGGCAGCAAUGCCGCGAGGUGGAGCCAAUCCCAAAAAACGCGUCUCAGUCCGGACUGCAGUCUGCAACUCGACUGCACGAAGUCGGAAUCGCUAGUAAUUCGAGAUCAGCAUGCUCGGGUGAAUGCGUUCCCGGGCCUUGUACACACCGCCCGU